rnacentral:misc_RNA from 1 species
GAUGAAGAACGCAGCGAAACGCGAUAAGUAAUGUGAAUUGCAGAAUUCAGUGAAUCAUCGAAUCUUUGAACGCACAUUGCGCCCGCCAGUAUUCUGGCGGGCAUGCCUGUUCGAGCGUCAUUUCAACCCUCAGGGCCCUUUUGGACCUGGCGUUGGGGCUCGGCCGCUACCCUGCGGCCGUCCCCGAAAGAUAGUGGCGGUCUCGCUGUAGCCUCCUCUGCGUAGUAGUUACAUCUCGCACUGGAACGCGGCGCGGCCAUGCCGUUAAACACCCCACUUCUCAAGGUUGACCUCGGAUCAGGUAGGAAUACCCGCUGAACUUAAGCAUAUCAAUAAGCGGAGGA